GACAGAGGUCCCGAGCGUUAGGCGGAAUCACUGGGCUUAAAGCGUGUGUAGGCGGAUUUGUAAGUACCUUGUGAAAUCCCACGGCUCAACCGUGGAACUGCUUGGUAUACUGCUUAUCUUGGGCCAUCUAGGGGCUAGCGGAACAAACGGUGGAGCGGUGAAAUGCGUAGAUAUCGUUUGGAACGCCAAUGGUGAAAACAGCUAGCUGGGGAUGUGCCGACGCUGAGACACGAAAGCCAGGGGAGCGAACGGG
rnacentral:rRNA from 1 species